UACGGGAGGCAGCAGUGGGGAAUAUUGCACAAUGGGCGAAAGCCUGAUGCAGCUAUGCCGCGUGUAUGAAGAAGGCCUUAGGGUUGUAAAGUACUUUCAUCGGGGAGGAAAAACAAAACUAAUAAUUUUAUUUCUUGACGUUACCCGAAAAAGAAGCACCGGCUAACUCCGUGCCAGCAGCCGCGGUAAUACGGAGGGUGCUAGCGUUAAUCAGAAUUACUGGGCGUAAAGAGCACGUAGGUGGUUUUUUUAAAGUCAGAUGUGAAAAUCCCUGGGCUUAACCUAGGAACUGCAUUUUGAAACUGAAAUACUAGAGUAUCGUAGAGGGAGGUAGAAUUCUAGGUGUAGCGGUGAAAUGCGUAGAUAUCUGGAGGAAUACCUGUGGCGAAAGCGGCCUCCUAAACGAAUACUGACACUGAGGUGCGAAAGCGUGGGGAGCAAAACAGGGAUUAGAUACC
rnacentral:rRNA from 1 species